CUGUGAAGUUCCUAUCGUUUUUCUUUCAUAUUUGUGAUAUUUCAUAUGUUAGCAUGCCGAAAAUAAUUCAAAGUAACGAAAGAAAUGUUAUACUAUCGGUGCGUGAUUUCUGUGAAAGAGAAAAAGAAUAUCUGAAAAAACCGUAAGCACCAUAACUAAAGAAGUCGGACUCAGAUGCUGCUUCGCCUAAUCCUUCACCAGACAUACCAUCAUGUUCGUCUCCAGACACACCAUUGCAGCCUUCAUUAGGUAUACCAUUACAUCCUUCUCCAGAUAUAACAAGAGAGCUAUCACCAGAAUCAGAUAUUCCAGCAGUGUCGAAUCCGAAUAAUGAAACAUUUGCUAAACCUCCACCUCAACGUAAAAGAUUUAAACGAACAUCGCUUCCUCUACACAUUGAAAAAUCUAUCGAGACACUGCAGUUCAUAAAAAACCAAACACUAAAUAGCAGAGAGAUUGAAGACGAGUUUUCACACUUUGCUAAAAAUGUGGCCAGUCAGCUAAGACAACUGCCUCUCUCAGAUGCUCUUGAUGUUCAAGCAGAUAUAUUACAGGUAAUAAAACAAAAAAGAAUUCAUCGUAUGCACAUGGAAAAUAAUUUCUCUUCAUCAAGCAGUGCAGCAGAAUAUACUAUUGAAAUACCAGAACAUAUAUUCAACAAUCUUGGUUCUCAGGUUCAGGUACAUGAUUCAGAAACACAAGACAUUUCAACGCCAUUCAAUGAGGUACAACAUUCUGCAUUAGAAGCAGCAAUUAGAAGCAUCGGAGGGAUCAAUAAUAACGAGA